CAGAAGUCAGGGGGGCAGCUGAAAAGUUGCUCCCUUUUCUCUGCACAAUGGCAAAUGAAAAAAGAAGACACAUAAGGAAGGAUGCAAAUAUGGUCCAGAAUUUUAAAUGAAGAGUAUAUCAGAUUCAUGCCUUUUACCUGAGCAGUGUUGGAAAUCAUUAUUUCUGAGGGAGGAAAAUCACUAAUUUGAGAUACAAUCUGGCACCACAGAAAGAAUAAGAUUUUCUAAUGAGCUCUGUAUGUGUAUUGAUGAUGUCAGCCUGUCUCAGGAUAACAAAGGUGCUAGAUAUUGACUGUUUGACAUGUACCUGAUAUGGCUUAAAUGUUGAGGACAGUACAGAGGAUGUUCUUGCAUAGUAUGAACUUCUGGAUAUUCUUCUGGAGCCACCUGUAGACCUCUGGAAUGCAGAGAAGCACACCUACAAUUUCCACCGGAGGCCAUCACACCUAGAUCCUUGAGGAAACAUUUUGAUUUAAUCGCAACAUUACUCCUUACAACUGUAAAAGAUUAAGAUUUUGUUGAACGUCAUUGUGGGCAAGUGGAUAUCAACUAGCCCACAUAGGAGUAUGAAUCAGAAUAAAAAUCCUAGAGCUGUUAGCUUUUUUUUUUUU
rnacentral:lncRNA from 1 species